GACGAACGCUGGCGGCGUGCUUAACACAUGCAAGUCGAACGGAAAGGCCCCUUUGGGGGUCCUCGAGUGGCGAACGGGUGAGUAACACGUGAGUAACCUGCCCUUGACUUCGGGAUAACUUCAGGAAACUGGGGCUAAUACCGGAUAGGCAUCCUUGCUGCAUGGUGGGGGUUGGAAAGCUUCGGCGGGUUUGGAUGGACUCGCGGCCUAUCAGCUUGUUGGUGGGGUAGUGGCUUACCAAGGCUUCGACGGGUAGCCGGCCUGCGGGGGCGAGCGGCCACAUUGGGACUGAGGUACGGCCCAGGCGCCUACGGGAGGCAGAUGUGGGGAAGAUUGCACAAUGGGCGGAGGGCGGAUGCAGCAACGCCGCGUGCGGGAUGACGGCCUUCGGGGUGUAAACCGCUUUCAGCAGGGGCGAAGCUUGUGGUGACGGUACCUGAAGAAGAAGCACCGGCUAACUUCGUG
rnacentral:rRNA from 1 species